rnacentral:rRNA from 1 species
UACAGAGGUGGCAAGCGUUGUUCGGAAUUACUGGGCGUAAAGGGCGCGUAGGCGGCCUUCUAAGUCAGACGUGAAAUCCCCCGGCUUAACCUGGGAACUGCGUCUGAUACUGGGAGGCUUGAGUAUGGGAGAGGUGAGUGGAACUGCGAGUGUAGAGGUGAAAUUCGUAGAUAUUCGCAAGAACACCAGUGGCGAAGGCGGCUCACUGGCCCGGUACUGACGCUGAGGUGCGAAAGCGUGGGGAGCAAACAGG